CGAACGGGUGAGUUAUGCGUGACCAACCUGCCCCAUGCUCCAGAAUAGCUCUUGGAAACGGGUGGUAAUGCUGGAUGCUCCAACUUGACGCAUGUCUUGUUGGGAAAGUGUUUAGUGGCAUGGGAUGGGGUCGCGUCCUAUCAGCUUGUAGGCGGGGUAAUGGCCCACCUAGGCUUCGACGGGUAGCCGGCCUGAGAGGGCGGACGGCCACAUUGGGACUGAGAUACGGCCCAGACUCCUACGGGAGGCAGCAGCC
rnacentral:rRNA from 1 species